UUUAUGGGCUGGCGUGAGCGGGUGCUAGGAAGCCCUGACUUUGCACAUGGGUUUUCGGUUGUUAAUUCACAUCUUUAUGAGCGAAGCGGCACAUGCAGUUUCGAUUGUUCCAAUGAUGACUUGGGCAAACAAGAUGAUUGAUUGGGGCUUGUGUAUCCAAGCCCAGCAACAAUACUAAAGCCUACACAUUACUGGAAUAAACUUGGUACAAAAUAUAUCCCGUGAACAUGGUGGAACCAAAACAAUGGAACACCAUUUCCAUACAAAGGGAAGAGAAGAACAGAAUCCUGCCUCAUGAAACAAGCUCAAUAAGGACAGUAGCUGUAAGAAAUAUGUUACUUUCACCCCUGCUCCCGACUGAGAGAAAGACCAUGGCUAGGAAGAAGAAAGACUGAGUUGAACAGGAGAGCCAUGAUUCUGGACACAAUCAGCUGGACACUGGCAAAAGCAGAAUUACCUCGAAACCAGAACAACAGUGGAAUUACAUCUGUUUAUACCAAGACCGAAUUAGGCUCUGGGUGCAAACAAUGGACAGAGGAGCCAACUAGUAGGAAUUUAAAGAAGGGACACACUCCAAAGUAAAUAAACCAGCUUUGCAUGCUCAUUUGUUAA